CUUUUUCUCUUCUUUUUCGGUGGACACCAGCAGCCCAUUCUCCUUGUCUUUUCCUUUUUCCUUUCUUUCCUCUCUUCUCUCACACUCACGCACAACUCCUCUUCUCUCUCCCUUUCUUCACACACACACGCACGUUGAGAGAGAGAGAGUUGGACCGAAAUGAGAGAGAGAUACCGAGAGAAAUCUGCAGAAAUUGAGGGAAAGCCCGAAAUGAGAGAUGCUGUCCGGCCAUGAGAGAAGAAGAAGAGAAGGAGAAGCAACGGUUCAUGGGUUCCGGCCAUGGGCCUUUGUGGGGAUAGUGUCCGGAUUGGAGACUUCAAUGGGUUCUCUAAUGUAGAGUUCGAGUCAUGAGUUUAAUGCAGCCCAGAUGAUGUUUCUUUGGCUGCAGGUAUUCCGGUCAUAGUUGAUGGUGUUGUAGUAGUAUACUUGGGAUAUUACGACUGAAGCUCGCCGCGACGGUUGUAAUUGUCGGACCAUGGGUUGUCUACUAUUUUAUAGGUUUGUUUAUGGCUUGUGACGUUUGUGUCACUUGUUAUUGUACAAAACCAUUUAUGUCACGUAUUUAAUUCGUGGAAAGAUUUAAUCAUAUAGUUAUUUAAUGGCUCUUUGUUGUAA